ensembl:miRNA bta-mir-2894 bta-mir-2894
CGCAACGAGGGCUCGGGACACAGCCCUGCUUCCUGGCCCACGUCACCCGUCGUGGCCAGAGCCCUGGCCCUGCCAUCGUGUC